CUGAAUUAUAUAAAAGAUGAAAAAUCUAAGAGCACCAAAUUUCAUGGGCUUAUCAAAAAGCAAUAGAUACAUUUGCUCAUAAUCGUUUUAAAAAAACUUCAUUAUCAUAUAAUUGGUGGCGCAAGUGGUGAUCAAGAAAUCAAAAUGAAUUAGUGUUCAUGAUUUGGACAUAAGAAUACUAUACCUUUCUGCAAAUUGACAAUAAUAAAAUUAUUCAGAAGGAUCAAAAUAAGAUACUUUGCUGAAGAAACCACACCUCUAAAAUGAAAUAUGAUGUCCCGUGCAUUGACCUAAAGAUAGGUAAAGGUAAACAGGAUCUUAUAUAAAAAAUGUUUAGAGUCCAUCAAUUACAUCGUCAUGUAAUCGUGCUGAUGAAGGGGCAUUGGACGAAUUGAGAACACUGGCAAUGUGCUUCAGGGAUGAUAAUGAUUUAUGCUCAGAAUUCUUGAUUUUCCAAUCUCAACUUACACCAUAGAAUCAUAGAUAAAAGAAGAGUAAGUGACUUACACAAUACAGUUAUUCCGCCC